UUACACAAAACUUCAGGAACUUUCAACCUAGUGGUAGUGGUGAGAUAUUAUUAUCACCAAAAGAAUGAUCCCUUUACAAAUUCGGAUUCGGACAAACUUUACAUAAAAGAAGGAAAUGGCAUUUUAUCGCCAGAAAUCCAAAUAGAGCAUUCCCAUUGAAGGAAAUAGUAUCUAUAUAAACACAAGCCUGGUCCUAAACGGCCACAGUAGCAUGUAAUAUUAUAUAGUAACGUAGAGAUCUUUGCUGUACCUGUUUUUUGUUGUUUAUUGGGAAUCUUUGAAUAAAGAACUUACGAAAAUGGAGAAUCUCCAUGAUCAGGGGUUUUCCAUUGGUUAACAAGAGAAUAUACAGACCCGGACAAAUGUUAAUCUUUGCUUUUGAACAAUUGAUGCUAAUCUUCGUCUUAUAUCUAUCUGAGACAGGGUAAGUGGAAGCAUGCAUUAUUAACAGCAGAGAAUUGUGUUCUUGUGUUGCUUUUUUUUUUUUUUAUCAGUAAACUGUUAUUAUUCGUGUUGAUUUUCUGUUACCAAAAAUUAGUAGCAAUCUAGUACUGUUCAUCAAAGUUUAUAGAAUAAUUUGUUGCUGUUGCUGAACUCAUCAUACCUUUGUUCUAUGUUUGAUCUUGUAUUUGCAGCGUAGUGCCGUAGACUCAAUUUCUACUAAGCCCAAAGACCACAAAGAAAAUGGUUCUCUUCUUUUGCUCUGUUUACCAUAAGUUUUACAACACUAAACUCAUUACUAUAAUUGAAUCCUUUUUUAUGUAAUCUAUAAUCUAUCUGUAAUCUAUCUGUAAUCUAUCUAAUCUUCAAAGCCUAUAGAAAUCCAGGUUUCUUUUGUCCACUUAAGACGUCUAUGUGUGACCAAACACAUGUGUGAUCCACCCUGCCCUCUAAUUACAAGUAUCAACUACUAGACCAUAAAUACUUUACUUAUUACCAUAGGUUACAAGUUUCAACUAUUAGACCACAAAUACUUGGCUAUUACAAGGCUUGUAAAUUAGAGGGCGGGACGUAAACUCUCAACGUUAAAUUGC
rnacentral:lncRNA from 1 species